rnacentral:rRNA from 2 species
CUUUUGUAGAAUGAACCGGCGAGUUACGGUAUCGUGCAAGGUUAAGCUGAUGAAGCGGAGCCGCAGCGAAAGCGAGUCUGAAUAGGGCGCAUUAGUACGAUGCCGUAGACCCGAAACCGGGUGAUCUACCCAUGUCCAGGGUGAAGGUCGGGUAACACCGACUGGAGGCCCGAACCCACGCAAGUUGAAAAUUGCGGGGAUGAGGUGUGGGUAGGGGUGAAAUGCCAAUCGAACUCGGAAAUAGCUGGUUCUCCCCGAAAUAGCUUUAGGGCUAGCCUCGAGUGAUGAGUCUUGGAGGUAGAGCACUGAUUGGACGAGGGGUCCCCACAGGAUUACCG